rnacentral:rRNA from 1 species
GUGGGGAAUAUUGCACAAUGGGCGCAAGCCUGAUGCAGCAACGCCGCGUGAGGGAUGACGGCCUUCGGGUUGUAAACCUCUUUUAGUAGGGAAGAAGCGUAAGUGACGGUACCUGCAGAAAAAGCACCGGCUAACUACGUGCCAGCAGCCGCGGUAAUACGUAGGGUGCAAGCGUUGUCCGGAAUUAUUGGGCGUAAAGAGCUCGUAGGCGGCUUGUCGCGUCUGCCGUGAAAACCCAGGGCUCAACUCUGGGCGUGCGGUGGGUACGGGCAGGAUAGAGUGCGGUAGGGGAGAGUGGAAUUCCUGGUGUAGCGGUGGAAUGCGCAGAUAUCAGGAGGAACACCGAUGGCGAAGGCAGAUCUCUGGGCCGUAACUGACGCUGAGGAGCGAAAGCAUGGGGAGCGAACAGGAUUAGAAACCCCAGUAGUCC